UACGGAGGGUGCGAGCGUUGUCCGGAAUCAUUGGGCGUAAAGGGCGCGUAGGUGGCUUCUUAAGCGUGCGGUGAAAGCCUGGGGCUCAACCCCGGGUCGGCCGUGCGAACUGGGGGGCUGGAGCACUGUAGAGGCAGGCGGAAUUCCGGGUGUAGCGGUGGAAUGCGUAGAGAUCCGGAAGAACACCGGUGGCGAAGGCGGCCUGCUGGGCAGUUGCUGACACUGAGACGCGAAAGCGUGGGGAGCGAACAGG
rnacentral:rRNA from 1 species